rnacentral:rRNA from 1 species
UACGUAGGGUGCGAGCGUUGUCCGGAAUUACUGGGCGUAAAGAGCUCGUAGGUGGUUUGUCGCGUUGUUCGUGAAAACCUGAGGCUUAACCUUGGGCGUGCGGGCGAUACGGGCAGACUGGAGUACUGCAGGGGAGACUGGAAUUCCUGGUGUAGCGGUGGAAUGCGCAGAUAUCAGGAGGAACACCGGUGGCGAAGGCGGCAUCCUGGACCAUUACUGACGCUGAGGCGCGAAAGCUAGGGGAGCAAACGGG